CAAGCGCUGCUUACUGCUUCCGCUCUGUGCCUGCCCGCUCGCUUCCUUCCCGGCAAGCAUCGUGGGAGCUGGAGCCUUUCACACAGAAUUCAUCAGAGUUGACAGGAAGCUCUGAAAGACCAGGAGGGAUAGAGAAAAAAAAAUGGAAGCUGAACUGGGCUCCGUUCCUGAUUAGCCAGCUAGAUGCUGCAAAGAACAGCAGGGUCACCCUCUCCCUCAUGAAAUCAAAGUGACACCGUAAUAACAACCUCGUAUACAAGAUCUGGGCAUUCUGCCAACGUUUCCAUUCUGGAGGAGAUCCUCAAACUUUCAUUGGGAGGAGUCAGGCAUCUUCCUCCAGUUGGGUGAAACCAUAGCUGAUGAGAGCUCAGUGAAGGUCACUGGGAUGUACAUAUUUCCCCUAGAGACAGCAGGGGAAGUUUCUUGGAGGCUGGAAAAGUAAUAAAUUACUUCCUCUACAUUAGCAAACCUAACCUGAAGGAGUCUGAGUGCAGCAGCUAAAGGAAGCCAUUUCUUUGUGUAGGAGUACCCGUAGUCUCCUUCAAAUCCUGGGGGAUGCUGCUCCACAAGCAUCUAAUUCUAAAGCCACACAAAUAAAAAGACCUGUACUCAGAGUUCAAGA